ACGGCUCAGUAACACGUGGACAACCUACCCUCAGGUCGGGGAUAAACCCGGGAAACUGGGUAUAAUACCCGAUAGAUCUCGGCUGCUGGAAUGCAUCGAGUUCUAAAACUCCGGCGCCUGAGGAUGGGUCUGCGGCCUAUCAGGUAGUAGUGGGUGUAGCGUACCUACUAGCCUACGACGGGUACGGGUUGUGAGAGCAAGAGCCCGGAGAUGGACUCUGAGACACGAAUCCAGGCCCUACGGGGUGCAGCAGGCGCGAAAACUUUACAAUGCCGGCAACGGCGAUAAGGGGACCUCGAGUGCCAGGUUACAAAUCUGGCUGUCGUGAUGCCUAAAAAGCAUUGCACAGCAAGGGCCGGGCAAGACCGGUGCCAGCCGCCGCGGUAACACCGGCGGCUCGAGUGGUAACCGUUAUUAUUGGGUCUAAAGGGUCUGUAGCCGGCCGGAUAAGUCUCUUGGGAAAUCCAGCAGCUCAACUGUUGGGCUUUCAGGAGAUACUGUCUGGCUCGAGGCCGGGAGAGGUGAGAGGUACUUCAGGGGUAGGGGUGAAAUCUUGUAAUCCUUGAAGGACCACCAGUGGCGAAGGCGUCUCACCAGAACGGACCUGACGGCAAGGGACGAAAGCUAGGGGCACGAACCGGAUUAGAUACCCGGGUAGUCCUAGCCGUAAACGAUACUCGCUAGGUGUCGGCCACGGUGCGACCGUUGUCGGUGCCGUAGGGAAGCCGUGAAGCGAGCCACCUGGGAAGUACGGCCGCAAGGCUGAAACUUAAAGGAAUUGGCGGGGGAGCAC
rnacentral:rRNA from 1 species